GUGAACGCUGGCGGUAGGCCUAACACAUGCAAGUCGAACGGCAGCACAGUAAGAGCUUGCUCUUACGGGUGGCGAGUGGCGGACGGGUGAGGAAUACAUCGGAACCUACUUUUUCGUGGGGGAUAACGUAGGGAAACUUACGCUAAUACCGCAUACGACCUACGGGUGAAAGCAGGGGAUCUUCGGACCUUGCGCGAUUGAAUGAGCCGAUGUCGGAUUAGCUAGUUGGCGGGGUAAAGGCCCACCAAGGCGACGAUCCGUAGCUGGUCUGAGAGGAUGAUCAGCCACACUGGAACUGAGACACGGUCCAGACACCUACGGGAGGCAGCAGUGGGGAAUAUUGGACAAUGGGCGCAAGCCUGAUCCAGCCAUACCGCGUGGGUGAAGAAGGCCUUCGGGUUGUAAAGCCCUUUUGUUGGGAAAGAAAAGCAGCAGGUUAAUACCCCGCUGUUCUGACGGUACCCAAAGAAUAAGCACCGGCUAACUUCGUG
rnacentral:rRNA from 1 species